rnacentral:rRNA from 1 species
UCUGUGAUGCCCUUAGAUGUUCUGGGCUGCACGCGCGCUACACUGACAAAGUCAGCGAGUAUCAACCUUGACCGAAAGGUCUGGGUAAUCUUGUGAAACUUUGUCGUGCUGGGGAUAGAUCAUUGCAAUUAUUGAUCUUGAACGAGGAAUUCCUAGUAAGCGCAUGUCAUCAGCAUGCGUUGAUUACGUCCCUGCCCUUUGUACACACCGC